AGAUUGAACGCUGGCGGCAUGCCUUACACAUGCAAGUCGAACGGUAGAGUAGCAAUACUCGAGAGUGGCGAACGGGUGAGUAAUAUAUCGGAACGUGCCCAGUCGUGGGGGGAUAACGUAGAGAAAUUUACGCUAAUACCGCAUACGAUCUAAGGAUGAAAGCGGGGGAUCGCAAGACCUCGCGCGAUUGGAGCGGCUGAUAUCAGAUUAGGUUGUUGGUGAGGUAAAAGCUCACCAAGCCGACGAUCUGUAGCUGGUUUGAGAGAACGACCAGCCACACUGGGACUGAGACACGGCCCAGACUCCUACGGGAGGCAGCAGUGGGAAUUUUGGACAAUGGGCGAAAGCCUGAUCCAGCAAUGCCGCGUGCAGGAAGAAGGCCUUCGGGUUGAAACUGUACUUUUGUACGGAACGAAAAGGCUACUUUUACAAGUUAAAGACGGACCCAUAGGACGUACGUAAGAAUAGACACCGGACUAACUACGUAGCCGAG
rnacentral:rRNA from 1 species